AGUUUGAUCCUGGCUCAGAGUGAACGCUGGCGGCAGGCCUAACACAUGCAAGUCGAACGGCAGCACAGUAAGAGCUUGCUCUUAUGGGUGGCGAGUGGCGGACGGGUGAGGAAUACAUCGGAAUCUACUCUUUCGUGGGGGAUAACGUAGGGAAACUUACGCUAAUACCGCAUACGACCUACGGGUGAAAGCGGAGGACCUUCGGGCUUCGCGCGGUUGAAUGAGCCGAUGUCGGAUUAGCUAGUUGGCGGGGUAAAGGCCCACCAAGGCGACGAUCCGUAGCUGGUCUGAGAGGAUGAUCAGCCACACUGGAACUGAGACACGGUCCAGACUCCUACGGGAGGCAGCAGUGGGGAAUAUUGGACAAUGGGCGCAAGCCUGAUCCAGCCAUGCCGCGUGUGUGAAGAAGGCCUUCGGGUCGUAAAGCACUUUAAGUUNGGGAGGAAGGGCUCAUAGCAAAUACCUGUGAGUUUUGACGUUACCAACAGAAUAAGCACCGGCUAACUUCGUGCCAGCAGCCGCGGUAA
rnacentral:rRNA from 1 species